rnacentral:rRNA from 1 species
UACAGAGGGGGCAAGCGUUGUUCGGAAUUACUGGGCGUAAAGGGCUCGUAGGCGGUUUGUCGCGUCGGGAGUGAAAACACCGGGCUUAACUCGGUGCUUGCUUUCGAUACGGGCAGACUGGAGGUAUGCAGGGGAGAACGGAAUUCCUGGUGUAGCGGUGAAAUGCGCAGAUAUCAGGAGGAACACCGGUGGCGAAGGCGGUUCUCUGGGCAUUACCUGACGCUGAGGAGCGAAAGUGUGGGGAGCGAACAGG